GACAAAUUUUUCCAGAUCUCUGUUUGUGGUGAGGUGUAAUUAUGUGUGUUUUUCCUAGCUUAGUGUGUGCGUUCUUUCUUUUUGUUUCUGAGAAUGCUGUGUUGAGGGGGUUUUUGGAGAAAACGGUGGGGUUGGGAGGUUGUAGUACUUCAAACAAAGGUGAACGAUUUUUUAGGUGAGUGAGCGUUGUGUUUUAAAGGUUAUACUUUGUUAUAUUCACGUUCUUAUUGCGUUAUAUCAUGCUUCAGAAUUGGUCGUCAAUAUCCUUGUCUAGGUGAGAGUAUGUGUGACCAGCCCCCUCCCCGCCUUUUUUUUUUUUUUUUUUUGUCUUAUAGAGUGUCACUUUUGUCAUCCAGGCUGGAGUGCAGUGGCGGGAUGAGAGUUCACUAUGAUCUCGACUUCCUGGACUCAGAUGGUUCUCCCACUUCAGCUUCCGGAUCUAAUAUUUCAAUAAUUUCAAGAACACUGCAUUCAUUCCUCUCCACAUGAGCAAUUGCCAAAAGUAGGCUUUACAUUUUUGCUCGUUUUCUUUUGGGUCUGUGGCUAGUCUCCACUUCCUUUUUUUUUUUUUUUUUUUUUUUUUUUUUUUUAAGAUAGUCUCACUCUGUCCCCCACAACCCCCAACCCCGGCUGGAGUGCAGUGGCCAGAUCUGGGCUUACUGCAACCUCUGCCUCCCAAGUUCAGGUGAUUCUUGUGCCUCAGCCUCCUGAGUAGCUGGGAUUACAGGCACGUGCCCACCAUGACUGGCUAAUUUUUUGCAUUUUUAGUAGAGACGGGGUUUUGCCAUGUUGGCCAGGUUGGUCUCGAACGCCUGGCCUCAAAGUGAUCCACCCGUUUGGGCCUCCCAAAGUGCUGGGAUUACAGGCCUGAGUUACUGCACCCGGCCUGUCCCCGAAAUUCGAUUGCAGCCGGCGAUAAAGCUUUUUUUUACCCCGCUUCUCGGCAAAGCGUUGUGUUUUUAUUUUAGCAGACUCACCUGGCACUAAGGACUGCUCUGGUGGUCUUCGGAGGCUCCUGGGAUCGACUGCUUGGACAGAGGUGACAUCACCCAAUUAGUGAGAGCCAAGACCUAAGGCUGCAGCUGCCUUCCAGGUAUCUGCCACUCACUGUAGAACGAUCCCACAGUUCUGCAUUUCUGCCCUAUGCCCGCCAGUCACAAGAAGCUCCGGUCUCUUAUCCCAUGUCUGAUUCCUGAAACCUUGCUAAUUUUCCUACCAUCCUCCCUAUUCCCAGCCUCCUUUCUUCUUCUUCUUCUUCUUCUUCUUUUUUUUUUUUUUUUGAGGCUGAGUUUCACUCUUGUUGCCUAGGCUGGAGUGCAAUGGUGCGAUCUCGGCUCACUGCAACCUCCACCUCCUGGGUUCAAGCGAUUCUCCUGCCUCAGCCUCCAGAGUAGCUGGGAUUACAGGCAUGUGCCACCACGCCCGGCUAAAUUUUUUUUGUAUUUUUAGUAGAGAUGGGGUUUCUCCAUGAUGGUCAGGCUGGUCUCAAACUGCCAAACUCAGGUGAUCCACCCGCACUGGCCUCCCAAAGUGCUGGGAUUACAGGUGUGAGCCACUGUGCCCGGCCCCCCUUUCUUCGUUUGCUCUAUCCUCCCGCUGAAGACAUUGCUUUCCUCUUUCUGUUUGCUCUCCCCACCUCUCACUCCAUUGUGCCUUGCACCUGUGCUGCCCACUACCUCUCCUUGUUGCUGUUGUCUCUCCUGGCUGCUGGUCACUCCAUGCCAACACUUACUUUAUUCCUUGAAGGUUUUUAGCUCCUGGAGCACUGACUUUCUCCAGCAUAACUCCUGUCAUCAAUCGACACCCUGGUUCCCCAAUUCCUUGACCUCAGCUUUGACUACCCCAGCCACUCACUUCCCUGGUCUAACCCUAGGUCAUGUCAUUGUCGAUUGCCAUAACCCCAUCCACUUCGAGGGUCACACUCUCCAAUCACCUCUACCAUCCCUCCCUCUGCUACCCUUUGGUACCUGUCACCCCACUCCCCACCCCCUCAACCCGCAUCCCCAAAGUCCUUGGGCCCACCUCCAACUAAUCUAACUGCACCAACUCUAACAAACUGCACCUGUGUCACUGAGUGUAACUGGUGGAAGCUGACUGGGCUCACCUUAACCCUGGGCAAGCUGGGGGAAAAUAGACAUCCCACAUUUGCUACCUGGGGCCCAAUAAGUCUGCAUUAGUCUGUGCUCGUGCUGCUAAUAAAAACAUACCGGAGACUGGGUAAUUUAUAAAGAAAAAGAGGUUUAAUGGACUCACAGUUCCACGUGGCUGGGGAAGCCUCACAAUCAUGGUGGAAGGUGAAAGGCAUGUCUUACAUGGUGGAAGGUGAGAGAGAACUUGUGCAAGGGAACUCCCCUUUAUAAAACCAUCAGAUCUUGUGAGACUUAUUCACUAUCAUGAGAACAAUAUGGAAAAGUCCUGGCCCCAUGAUUCAAUUACCUCCCACUGGGUCCCUCCCAUGACACGUGGGAAUUAUGGGAGCUACAAUUCAAGAUGAGACUUGGGUGGGGACACAGCCAAACCAUAUCAUUUUGCUGUAGCCCCUCCCAAAUCUCAUGUCCUCACAUUUCAAAACCUAUCAUGCCUUCCCAACAGUCUCCCAAAGUCUUAUUUCAGCAUUAACUCAAAAGUCUACAGUCCAAAGUCUCAUCUGAGACAAGGCAAGUCCCUUCCGCCUACCAGCCUGUACAAUCAAAAGCAAGUUAGGGUCGGGCAUGGUGGCUCAUGCCUGUGAUCCCAGCACUUUGGGAGGCCAAGGCAGGCAGAUCAUCUGAGUUCGGGAGUUUGAGACCAGUCUGGCCAACAUAGUGAAACCCCAUCUCUA
rnacentral:lncRNA from 1 species